rnacentral:lncRNA from 10 species
CUCUGAACCUAAGACCUCUUCAGGACCUUGCAGUAACAUUGGCUGCCUCCUCAGCUGUCUCUAUUGAGACUGAGGUCAAUAAAUAGGAGACUAAAGAUCUCCAGAUGGAAUUCACCCUGGAAUCUGGGGUAACUGGAAAUGAGAUUAAGAUCUGAGGGGUCUGAGGAGUCUGCAUAAAAAUAAACAACGCCAGAAAGAAGUGAUCCAGUCUUUCAACUGCAAGAGUGAACAGGCUCACAAGAUCUUUCAAGCAACCCACACAGCUGAGUGCAUUUACCCUACCUAUUACUUCAUGUUACCUUUAGCAAGGGCAGGCACCAUAUUUAAUACUGCUUUUACAACCUAUACAGAGCAGUGGUUCUUACAACUUUUUUCCAUCUUCUCCAGUUACAUCUUCUCCCAUUACUUAGAACAAAUGCCCUAUUUCACUGUUUUCUACUUUUUAAUGGAUUAGGGGUACAAACUCAGUGAUAGCAAAUAAAUGUCGAUGUGAAAGCAAAAUUUGGGAAAUUUUACUUUAGCAAUUAUCUGAUUAAGCAAUAAUUAUUUAAAAAUUAUUUUAAAAUUAUGGGCACUAUCCAUACAGUAAGGCUAUUACAAUGAUGAAAUGUGAUGAAAAUGACAGGAUUUUUUUUGUUUUGUUUUUGUUUUUUUUGAGACAGGGUCUUGUUCUGCUGUCCAGGCUGGAGUACAGUGGCACAAUAAUGGCUCACUGCAGCCUUGAUCUCCUGGGCUCAAGUGAUCCUCCUGCCUCAGCCUCCCAAGUAUCCAAGACUACAGGAACCAAAGAAAGAUCUUGCAUUUUCUAAUGAAUUCUGAGCCCACAGUACAACUCAUCUUUGGAAAUCACUGCUCCAGAAUCCAAAGCAUGGUGCUCAGGAACUCCAGGUACAACGUUGAAUAAAGGUGGUGAGAAUAGACAUCCUUGCCUUGUUCCCAAUGUUGAUCAGUCUACCUUGAAGUUUAUUGAUUUUGUUUAUCUUUUCAAAGAUCAAACUUGCUUUGUUAACUUUUUCUGUUUUCUAUCUCAUUGACUUUCCUUUCUUCUACUUUGUUUUUACUUUGUUCUUGUCUUGUUUCUUAAGGUAGAAUUUUAGAUAUUCCUGUCUUACAUGAGCAUUUAAAGCUAUAAAUUUCCUUCUAAGCACUGCUUUAACUAUCGCAUGGGAAAGAAUUUUGCCUUGCCCAAACAGAGGUCUGGCUUUGUCCCUGGCUCAAAACCUUGAAAUUUCCUGAGUAACGGCAGUGUCUUUGUUAUUUAUGGUGGGUCCCUCAGACCGCAUGAUAUGGUUUGUCUGUGUUCCCACCCAAAUCUCAUCUUGAAUUCCCACAUAUUGUGGGAGGGGCC